rnacentral:lncRNA from 1 species
GAUCGAGGUGAGAGCCAUGAGAGGGCAAAGGUGCAGGAGGCCAUCUCAAUAGUUUCUGAUAUGUCGCCCAUGAUAUUUUUGGCCUAUUUUCUCGACAUCUAGUUGUUGUCCAUUGCCUUAUUUGCUUCGUCGCCAGCUAAAUUUGAUGGUUGUAAGAUUUGAAAAUCCAUGUGGGAGCCUAAGGUCAAGCCUUCCUGUUAUAUC